rnacentral:lncRNA from 1 species
CGAUUAGACUGCAUUUUGCCCUGCUUUUCUCUUUUUCUUCCCUUUCUUUCUCUCUUUCUCAUUCUUUUCUCCCUGCCAGAAGAUUGGAGACGAUAUUCUUUUGCGAUCAGUUCAGUAAUACAGUGUCUUUGAGUGUUCACACGAGCAUUUCAGUGGAGAAGAAAAGAAACUUUGCUACCUGGGAACAGAAGACUGCUUAGGUCAGUGAAUGCUAAUAAAGUCCUUAAGGACUUAUGGAGCCAGGAGUUAACUUUUGUCAACUCUUAAGCGAAGAUGCUGGUGUUCCCCAUCCUGCUGUUCUCACUUCUCCAGGACCGAGGCCCCGUGGAGGGAACCAAGAUCCUAGACCAUCCCUUAGACAUGAACUGGUUCAUACCUUGCCAGCUGCAUCUCCCUUGCUUCUUCCAGGACAGAGUGGGUUGAAAGAGCCAGCAGGAACUGAAAAGGAUAUGAAUCAGAGAGAAAAAACUGAAGUUUUGUCCCAGAAAAAAAAGGGGAGGACAGGCAGAGGAUUUGUCACUGGUAAGGCAAUUUACACACUUGUCCUUUUCAUAGUGAGUCAUGGUCUGUGAUACAUUUCAUAGCAAUGUCUAUGAGUUUCCAAAUCUGGAAGAAGACAUAUCAGCCAAAUAAGGGAGAGAGAAGAAAACAGGCUUUUAAUCCACCUAGUUACCAUUCACAGAGCUUUAGGAGUGGAACUCCAAAAAAUGACUAUUGCAGCACCCCGCUUUUCGUCAUAUCUUUAAGCCCAUUGAGAAAGAAAAUUAGCUAAUCACUUCUAAAAUAUCUUCAACAGAGCAACAAAGAGGUUCAAUCAGAGAAGCUCCAGUAUUCCAGAGAAAGUUCUUUCUUCCUGAUCUCUUCUCCAAACUUCCUUUUUCUUUGGGGAGGGUGGAGUGGGUUAUAAUAAUUUGAGGCAAAUUCUUUUCUCUUUUUUAGCUUUCAUAUUGGCUGACCUAAGUGCAUCUUAUAGGCUUAAAAAAAGUUAUUAAAGCUGAAGUCUUUAUUUUUUUCUUUAAGUAAUCUCACUUUGUUAAAAAAAAAAACUCUCUUAAGUCCAGUUCUUCCAUAAUUAAGGCCAUUUGGCGUUACUCUUUUAAGGAUGUCCCCCAGAUUGUCUAAUAAUAGAAUAAAAACAUCCACACUUUGUCCUAGUCACCUGGGUACCCACAGGACUGGAUGCCACUCAGAGUACAUCACAAGUGCUGAAAUAAAUGUUGACCAAAAGCGUAAAUAUGGCCUCAUAUCUGUGUAACUUCUAAUAGUUGAUGGUAAGCUUUACCCUCCUCAAAAAAUUAUCGGAGGGUGUCUUAUUUUCAUACCCCCUCUACUCCAGAAAAGCAUCUUUCUUUUAGUUAUAAAUCCAGUAAGUGGUAAAGUGGAGACCUGAAGUAGGAUCUCCAGUUCCCAGUCACGUAAGUUUCUUGACUUUACCUGAACAUUUUCUAAAGUGGAGCUGCUAGUGUUUUGAAAAAAAUACAGAGCCCCCCCCCCCCGACCCCCAACUCAACCUCAUAUUCAGAUAAUGAAGAGAAUAAUGGAAGGAGCAAUAGCAGUUCUAAUAUGUUUGUGUUUGGAAGUGUAUCUGAAUAUCAUGUUAUCUUGUUCAUCGUAAAAUGUUCUUUGUUCGUAGCUAGCUUUUAGUCUUCUCCAGCCUAGAGCUCCAGGUCCCACUGCCUUUCUGCAAGCUUAUCGUUGUUUUUCACAUAGCUUCUCCACAUUUUGUUCUGGGGCAUGGAAUAUUAAUAGGCUAUGACAGGCGCUUUGAAACUCUUCAUCAACAAGAUGUACACGGUGCCUUGAUUGGAUGGUGUGUGGUCAGCGCAAGGAACUUGAACACCUCAUGAUGCAAUCCUUGCUUGUCCAGAUCCGAGCCGCAUCCUCAUGGAUACUAGUUGGGUUUGUUUCCGAUAAGCCAUGGCAGGAAUUCCCAAGAUUUCUGUAGCGCUGAGAUCGACCAUCAUUACCAUUUGUUUCAGUGACUUUCCUAGAACUUAAAGGUGGAUGUUAAAUAAUCAGGGAAAUGCAUAAAAGGGUCUCUUGCAUCAAGCUCUUUAAAAACAGGGACAGUGUCAGAAAUUUCUAUAGCCCCAUCCCCAAAUUCAUAGUCUGUCACAGAGCAGGUGCUUAACAUGUAUUUCUUAUACUGAAUUGGCGUCUGUAAGAAAACCCAAGAAACCUGAGACUCAAUCUUGACUUUGUCCAUAACAAUGUGCCCUCGGAGAGGUUACUAGAUUUGUUAUAUCUUUUCUAAAAUCGGGUACUUAGCUACUCUUAAACACCCAAUGAGAAUAUGAGAGUUACAAGAAGUUGGGCUUUACAGAAUAUUGGUUUUGAACUUCACAGAUCAGGUGGAGUUCUUUUCUUUAAAUAAAUACAAACUGAUGGUCUUUGUGUCAUAAUCCUGUAUCAAGCAAAUAAUCAAUGCAAAGGAACUCUUGGUGACCUACUUGUGGGUUACUGUAUGUAAUUAGUAUGUCAUUUUUGACAAAUUUCUACAACCCUCAAUAUCUAUUUUUCCCCUUAAUUCACAUUCUAUUGUGAUCAUCUUUAUUGUUGAAAUGGAAUUGUCAACUUGAAGAUAAUUUGAAAAAUGGUUUGCUGCAAUCUGGGUUCAUAAAUCUUAAUGGGAAGAGCCAAGAGCCAACAGCUCCGAGCAUUGCGAAAUCAUUAAAUAAGGCUCCUGGAAUAUGUGAGUAGUCUGCCACUUUCUCAUUAAUCUGAGGCAGAAUACCCAGAAAGAGUAUUUCGUAAAUGUUAGUGUUGGGUCCUGGAUGACUUAGGAGUUUAUUGCAUUUAUUAGUGAAGAUGAUCUGUAUUUUAAUGUUGCUUUUUUUUUUUUUUUUUUUUAAGUCGUGGAGUUCCCAUUGUGGCUCAGUAGGUUAAGAACCUGACUAGUAUCCAUGAGGUUUCCAGUUCAAUCCCUGGCCUUGCUCACUGUGUUAAGGAUCUAAUGUUGCUGCAAGAUGCAGCAUCGGUCACAGAUGCGGCUUGUAUCCAGCGUUGCUAUGGCGUAGGCCGGCAGCUGCAGCUCCUAUUCAACCCCUAGCCCAGGAACUUCCAUAUGCCGCAGAUGCAGCCAUAAAAAAAGUUUUAGAAAAAGACAUUGUAAACUUGAAAAUGAACAAUACUGAUGAUUUCUCUCAUUUCGUUUUCUUAAUAUCUCUUCAGCCAAAAUGCCCACCACUAAGUAGGCAUCAGAAUCACCCAGAGGACUUGUUAAAUCAUGGACAGCUGAAUACUAUCUUCAGCAUUUCUAAUGAAGUAGAUUUGGGUGGGAUGGGUCCCAAGAAUUCCCAAUUAUGACAAGUUUCCUGGUGUUGCUAAAGCUGCGGGUCCAAGGACCACACACUGAGAACACUGUUACCUGAUCUCCCUUACGAUUGCCAAAGCGAGUAAAAAUAAAUAUUCCGUGGGAUUAGCAUAUACACACUGCUCCUCUUUUUUGAGACUACUUUAAUAAAAUGAGACUUAGCUAAGCCAUCAAUGGCGCAAAUCACAGACAGACCUCAAGGGUGUCUGUAUAGCGCUAUGAUGAAUACUGGGGGAAGGAAAGUCAUAAAGAA